rnacentral:rRNA from 1 species
GAUGAAGGUGCCGUAACAGGUACUGGAGGUCCGAACCGACUAGUGUUGCAAAACUAGCGGAUGAGCUGUGGAUAGGGGUGAAAGGCUAAACAAACUUGGAAAUAGCUGGUUCUCUCCGAAAACUAUUUAGGUAGUGCCUCAAGUAUUACCAUCGGGGGUAGAGCACUGUUUUGGCUAGGGGGUCAUGGCGACUUACCAAACCAAGGCAAACUCCGAAUACCGAUGAGUACAGCUUGGG